rnacentral:rRNA from 1 species
UACGUAGGGUGCAAGCGUUGUCCGGAAUUAUUGGGCGUAAAGAGCUCGUAGGCGGUUUGUCGCGUCGGGAGUGAAAUCAUCUGGCUUAACUGGGUGCUUGCUUUCGAUACGGGCAGACUAGAGGUAUGCAGGGGGAGAACGGAAUUCCUGGUGUAGCGGUGAAAUGCGCAGAUAUCAGGAGGAACACCGGUGGCGAAAGCGGCUCACUGGAUCUCUUCUGACGCUGAGGCACGAAAGCUAGGGUAGCAAACGGG